ensembl:lncRNA
GUCCAACUGCAGCUUGCAGCAGUCGCUCACGCCAGUCCCCCUGCUCACGCCGCGCCCGCUCACGCCGCGCCCCCGCUGGCACGCAACUUCCGACUUUCAGACAUGUACGGUUUGUUUACAAGACGCAGAUGGACCAUAUUGCCAUAUUGAGUCAUGGCGGCAACAACUCCCGGGAAGCACCUGUGACUUAGCUCAUCACAUUGCACUGGGCCAGUGGACAACUAAAUUUGGCAAAGACAUUGAGGUGCAUCUCUCCAACAACUUAUGUACCUGGAUGCACAUGUCUAUAUUUCUGAUUUGACCCAAAAACUUUUAUAUUGCUUAUUUAACACUUUGCCCAAUUGUUGCAGGGUUUCCCUCAUCAAACUACUGUAAAUUCUUGUGGCAUCUUAAUGUUGAUGGUAAAUUGCUUUUUAGUCUCUGAUUAAAGGUUUUUGGGUAAUUUUUUUUUUUUAUUAUCUGAAAAUGAUAUAACCUCACAGAUCUUUGCCUUUUACACUUUACAGUAUGCACUCAGCCUGAGCACAGAGGCUCCAUUUUGGUUCAUUAUUGUUCUUCUCACAUAGGAGCAAGUAUAAGAGGAACUUAAAUCCACCCUAACAUGACAUUGACUUUGGUUAAUUGUUUACAAUUUCCAGAAGUCUAACUAAGCAUGAUCUAUAAAGUACUUUGCACUACAGUAUUAACCACACAUCAAAGAACUGUUUGUGGGACUAUUUAACAUGGCUCUAUAACUUUUUGUACUCUGCUGUAAUUGACAUGCCAAUGGUUUGCAGACAAAUAGUGAUUUGUGACCGAACAUGAACAUUCCUCCUCAACUUAAAUAUUCUAUUUCUUUUAGAGGGACAUGGCAAGCAUCCGAAAAUGGUGGUGCAUUAGUCUAAUGGAACAGUUCCAGAUUGACGGGUAAGACAACUCUAGAUGUUACUUCCUACAAUACAUUGCUUCUACAUUAGUUUACUUUUUUUAUUAUUUUACUAAUAUCUUACUCAAAAGCCAUGGACAGAGGUUUGCAUACUGGACUAAUGAGGCCAGAGCAUUGCUCCAAGGUUCACUGCAGCCGAUAUACAGGGUCCCAAAGGUCAGCAAGAGGGAACAUGAGGUUUCGAUUAGAAAAGGAUGACAGGUGCAUCAUAUUGGAGUUACCAACAUGUGUGCUUUCUGUAAUCCUAAAUGAAGUGGUACUACAGGAAGGAGAUAAGGCAUACUUAAGAUUGGCUCUUGUGGGUCCACUGACUCCUUCAGGAGACGGGCACAUUUUCAGUGGCUUGACACUAAGUGUUUAAAUAAAGGGUGCUGUGGUAUACAAUACUUGAGUACCUCACGUGUGUUUUCACUAACCUUAUAGAAAUGUUCACUUUUGAUUGAUAAUUUGUUUUUCACAGGUGUCGCUACAUGGAGCAGGUUUUCUGAGUCCUAAAGAAAAUAAUUCUACACCAUGUACUCCAUGGACACCUGUCGUGAAUGUGGAAUGCUUUUCAAAAACUGCACACCUGGUAAACAUCUUAACACUGGAUGGAUUUGAAUCUAUGUCAUUAUACUCAGUAUUGAUGUCAUAACUACGCUUAGACCACAUCCUGAGUCUAGUGGUCACUGGUCAGUAUAAUCAUCAUUCUGUUUUUUCUUUUUCUUUUACAGGAUAUGUUAGAACAGGACAAAGGGGUGUACUUGAAGCAGUUUACUCAGAAGACCCACAUCCAGGUUACUGCGAUCACUUUAGCCACCAAAUGCAAUAGGUAAAAAUAAGGUGUUUGUGUGUAACAAAGGGGUGUGGGGGAAAAAAUAAUUGAAUAUGUAUUUGCUUCAUUUAUUUACUUAUUUUCUCUUUCAGUGAGAACGGACACGUAUACUAACUGUUGGCAGACAACCCUGAGCCAGCUGGGUGUUUUUCAAGCUGCAGGCCCCCGUGACAAUUUGUGGCUGGAAACUUGGGAUUGAAUUUUGAAUUCUCCAGUGUUAUUACAGACUGUUAAUUAAUUGGUUAUGACAAAAAAGAGAUGUCAUAUGUUUAAACAACCUUUGGGUGAACUUUUUGUAUAAUUUUAAAAAUGUUAAAACUAACAUCUAUUGAGAGUCUACUUUAUGCUUUUUUGGUUUUAAUAACAUCCUGUUCAAUGUGGAAUAAAAUUCAAAUCCUCUGAAUAUUGAGUCCAUUUCUGAACACUGGGGAGAUCGUGUGUACAACUGGUGAUCCGGUUUAUUGAAUGCAUUGCACCAAUAUGAUUUCUACCCAGUGCUGUACAUUUAUCAUUUGUUAAUAUAAUAAGACAGACAGUCUGACAUUUCCAUACCCACAGGAUUAAAGGGCCUACAUCUACGUACAGAUACUGAUCAGCAUAAAGUCCUUUGGAAUCACAUGUAAACUGCAGUAGAGGAUUUUUCUUUCAGUGCUUCGACCCAGAGAGAGCCUUCUAGUCCUCUUGUGACCAGCCCACUGUGACAGUACUGUCACAUAGUACAUAACUUACAUCCACAUCCACUUAUUAAGACUUAUUAUUUAUUGUCAUGUGUUUUUGCUUACUUCUAAAUAAAUAGUUUUGUUGUUUGCAGUUCAAUUUAUUAUACAUUAGCAAAUACAAAAACUAAUCCAAUACAACAUGAAC